rnacentral:rRNA from 1 species
UACGUAGGGUGCAAGCGUUGUCCGGAAUUAUUGGGCGUAAAGAGCUUGUAGGCGGUUUGUCGCGUCUGCUGUGAAAUUUCGGGGCUCAACCCCGAACUUGCAGUGGGUACGGGCGGACUAGAGUGUGGUAGGGGAGACUGGAAUUCCUGGUGUAGCGGUGAAAUGCGCAGAUAUCAGGAGGAACACCGAUGGCGAAGGCAGGUCUCUGGGCCACUACUGACGCUGAGAAGCGAAAGCAUGGGGAGCGAACAGG